rnacentral:tRNA from 3 species
GGAGAGGUCGCAUAGUGGCCUAGUGCGUCGGUCUUGAAAACCGAUGUUCCGCAAGGGACCGCGAGUUCGAAUCUCGCCCUCUCCGCCU